UGGGGCGUGGUGAAGUGGCUUAACACACCGGUUUUUGGUACCGGCAUUCCCAGGUUCGAAUCCUGGCGCCCCAGCCA
rnacentral:tRNA from 4 species